AUGCGGCGCCGGGUGCAGGAGACCGAGCGCCGGCCCAGGCUGAUGCUCGCCUUCCUCCUCAAGGUCGCCGGAGAUCCCGACGCGCUGCGCCGCCUCGUAGGCGACUUCCACGGCGGCCCGCAAGAUGGCGCGGGGGCCAAGUGGCCGCGGCUGCUUCUCGACGACGGGGAGGUCGUCCAGCUGGCGUCGGGCGACAAGACGAUGUCGUCCGUCGAUGGCGUGGGGUCGACGCGCUGUUGCAUAACAUGA
rnacentral:rRNA from 1 species